AUUAUGUAUUUUUUGUUUUAAUUAUGCAGUACACCAUUAGUAAUGACCAAACCAACCACCCAUUGUCCAAUUUUUUAUGUUAUUUUAAUUCAAUAAUUCCUAUGGGCACAAUGAUUUUUCUCUAUAAAUUCAACUACUGAAUCCCAUCAAAACCUCUUUCCUUCUCUUCUUAUCAUCUCUUCUAAAAAUUGGUCAAAACUCAUCCCUCCUCUUCCAUUUGCAUAUUCUUCUUUAUCAUCUUUUCUUCCCUAAAUUAGAGUCUAUCCUUCCGCCCAUAGUCUUUGACACCCUUUUCAAAAUUCUAGAACAAGAAUUUUAUUCUUCAUAUAUAUAUAUAUAUAUAUCCAAUUAACCAUCUCAAUCUCAUAUUCACAUAUACCUCAUAAACCAUCCAUAACAUCCUUAAAAACCCUCUAAGCCCUUUCAAACUUUGAUUUGUAAUUGUUUCUCUUAUAAGUCUUAACCUGCACAAAUCAAUUUUAAUUUCUUAUGUUCAUAUAGUUAUGAAUGAUUGAAAAAAACACAAAUGACUCCAGUUAUCUGUGAGAUCUCUAUGAUAAACUCUACUCUCAGACGCAGGACACAUUUAGUUCAAUCUUUCUCUGUUGUUUUCCUCUACUGGUUCUAUAUUUUCUCAUGAAUUAUUAAUUAAUCUAUAUUCUUUCUUUUCAAUACAAAUUUAGUUUCAUUAAUUCUAUCAACAUAAUCAAUUAAACUACAUAGUUAGAAAAAUAGUACUAUUACC
rnacentral:lncRNA from 1 species